UUACGGGAGGCAGCAGUAGGGAAUCUUCCACAAUGGACGAAAGUCUGAUGGAGCAAUGCCGCGUGAGUGAAGAAGGUUUUCGGAUCGUAAAGCUCUGUUGUAAGGGAAGAACAAGUACAGGAGUAACUGCCUGUACCUUGACGGUACCUUACCAGAAAGCCACGGCUAACUACGUGCCAGCAGCCGCGGUAAUACGUAGGUGGCAAGCGUUGUCCGGAAUUAUUGGGCGUAAAGCGCGCGCAGGCGGUCCUUUAAGUCUGAUGUGAAAGCCCACGGCUCAACCGUGGAGGGUCAUUGGAAACUGGAGGACUUGAGUACAGAAGAGGAAAGCGGAAUUCCACGUGUAGCGGUGAAAUGCGUAGAGAUGUGGAGGAACACCAGUGGCGAAGGCGGCUUUCUGGUCUGUAACUGACGCUGAGGCGCGAAAGCGUGGGGAGCAAACAGGAUUAGAUACCCCGGUAGA
rnacentral:rRNA from 1 species